rnacentral:sRNA from 1 species
UUUCAAGAAAGGCAUGUUAAGUACGCGACAUCCUGUCGCAACACAUGCACUGGUACUUCUGUGCG